rnacentral:rRNA from 1 species
UACAGAGGGUGCAAGCGUUAAUCGGAAUUACUGGGCGUAAAGCGUGCGUAGACGGUUGCGUAAGUCAGAUGUGAAAGCCCCGGGCUCAACCUGGGAAUUGCAUUUGAGACUGCGUAGCUAGGGUGCGGAAGAGGGAAGCGGAAUUUCCGGUGUAGCGGUGAAAUGUGUAGAGAUCGGGAGGAACACCGGUGGCGAAGGCGGGUCUCUGGGCAAUUCCUGACGCUGAGGCGCGAAAGCGUGGGGAGCAAACGGG